rnacentral:snRNA from 1 species
AGCUUUUCACAGUGGCAGUAUCGUAGCCAAUGAGGUUUAUCCAAGGCAAGAUUAUUGCUAAUUGAGAACAUUUCUCCUCCAC